rnacentral:lncRNA from 10 species
GGACGAGGCCGGGCGUGUGGCCAUGUGUGCGUGCCUGUGCUCAUGGGACCCACCGGCCCGGCCAGCCGGGUCUACCUGAGGGCCCCACACCCCUCAGGCAGCUGAAGGGGAAAGGGCCUCCCCGGCCACCAUAAAUCAGCGCAGGAAUGCAGGCUGGCCAGUCUGGCGCUGGCCGGGUUGGGGCGGAGACAAAGACCAGGCAGCUGGACCUCGGGCAGCCUCGACCACCCAGGACAGAGGUUGCAGCGAGCUGAGAUUGCGCCAUUGCACUCCAGCCUGGGCGACAGAGCGAGACUCCAUCUAAAAAUAAUAAUAAUAAAAAUUAAAAUUAAAAAAAAAAA